ACUUCAUUUAGGUAGGUUCGUAAAUAUUAAAAAUUCGAUUAGGUACCUAUUUACAUUUUACAAUCCUACUUUUUAUGUAUUUUUAUAAUUGAAAAGCUGUAGGCCUACCUACUUCUUAUUAAAUCAAGGUAGUAUAGACAUAUUACAAGUUGUGUGCUUAAAAUAUCGACGAAAAACAUCAUUUUGAUAUCCAUUACUGACUGAUUAUUAUUGAAUUAACAAGAUGAAACUUACAUUCGUUAUUACAUUUUCGGCAUUCAUUUUUUUCAUUUUGCUGCUCAGUGCAUCAAAUAUCAGAGAAACAUAUGCUCGUCCUCGUCAUCGUCAUGCUCGUUCGCAGCCAUUGAAUACAACGAAAGACUGCCUCGAUAACGCCGCAUGUAUUGGUGCUUCAAUAAUAAUAACCCAGGGUUAAAUGACCUGAUCAAGCUGCUAAAACUAAGAAUUCACUUUUUUUGCAAGAAAAAAUCUGAAUAUUGGUUUCUGUAAUGAUUUGAAUAAAGAAUAUCUGACAA